AGGAGUUUACCGUGUGCGUGUNCAGGAGCUGUCUUCUAUAAAGAACAAGGUCGGUAACCCCAGAAUAUCCCCAAACACAAAGAGGAGAACUCCGGGGCUUUCAAAAGAGAUUCCACCAGGGUUAAUUUGAAAUUAAAUGUAAGCUGAAGAUCUCGGGAUCUUUUCUUCCCCUUCUCUCUUGCUGCCCCCUCCCGCUUGGCCUGGUCUUCCAGGGAACCUGGUUUCUGUCUCAGCUGCUGCCGCCAGAAAGUCAGAAUUCAAAGGUGCCCUCUUGGGUUUGAGAACCUGGAGAGUUUGGUCUCUCAUUGGAGUGUGUGUGGAGGCACCCCACGGGCCCUCACAAUAGGAAAUAAUAAUAGUUGCUGAUAAUUAAGCCACCUCCUCAGAGCAGUCCCCUCCAAUCACCUUUGUCAAAGGAGAUAUUCAGUUCUUUGUGUCACACCACUUCAUUUGUGUUCUCUGCAGAGGCCUUGGGACUUUUUGGAUAGUUUUCUAACUGUUCGUCUGUCUGCCCUUCCUCUGGAAUACGAACGCUGUGAAUCUCCCCUUCAGGCUCUGGCUUCCAGCAGGUCUCCAUACCCUGUGUGUCCCAGCUCCACCUUCACGUGUGUUAUUUAAUGCUUGAACCACCCUGGGAGUGGACACUUAUCAUUCCGUGUUCCCACUUAGAGAUGAGCAGACUGCGGUACCGAGGGAUUAAGCUGAUGGCUUGGGGUCCCCCCCCCACCCCCCACAGCGGCAGAGCUGGAGCUGGGAUUUAAUGGCGAGCACAGCCCUGCUGAGCAGCCCCUUCCCAGGGGCUGUUGGUGGCAGGAAGGCUCUUCUGGCCAACUGUAACUGCACAGCGUGCUGCAGCCCAAAGGGUGGCACACUUCUCUGUGCGAACCUGUCUGCACACCUUGGAAGGCUGUGGAGUUUCUGUCAGUGUGUUGCAAUUCGCUGUGAAGGGCUGGGGUGACUCACACUGGCUGGGCCUGGAGGGGGCUGGAAUUCUACGUGGCAUGUCUGUGCUCUCUAGGCUUAGAGAUUUAUUUAUUUAUUAUUUUUAUUUUUUUUGCAGUACUGGGAAUUGAACCUAGGGGCACUCUACCACUAACCUAUAUCUCCAGCCCUUUAUGUUUUAAUUUAAGACAGGGUCUCAUCAAGUUGCCCACGCUACCCUCCAACUUGUGGUCUUUUCAAGUGGCUGGAUUAUAGUUGUGUGCCACUGUACCCGGCUCACUGAACUUUUUAAUUGAUGAAUGUCUAUAGAACUGGCGACUGAAGCCAAGGGCACUGUGUCUCUGAGCUAAAUCCCAGCCCUAUUUAUUGAGACAGGGUCUUGCUGAGUUGUCCAGACUGACCACGAACAUGUGCUCUUCCUGCCUUGGCCUCCUGAGUUGCCGGGAUCACGGGUAUGUACAACACCUGGCUUCACUGGGCUUUUAAAAACAGGUUCUCUCUCCCUCUCUUUGGGUCCUGCCUCUUUGGUCACCCAAGCCCAUUUCUGGAAAUGUGCAAAGGCCCGAGUCAUGGAGAGAAUUUCUCUGCCUCCACACAUUGGAAGGCUCCAGGUGGUCCCCUGGGAAGGAUGGAGGAACAAGGGAUCCCUCCAUCCUACCCAGGGUCUGGAGUAGGCAGGGACACCAUGAAUCAGUUUGCAAUGUUAGAGGACCCCUCAAAGAGCAGUGACAACUCCCUGUUAGGAGGCAAGACUGUUCCAGGCCUUCAUUCCACAACUCAGAGACCAAGGUUUUAAAGAGACAUGGCCCAGGUGUUGCUGCAGCCCACCCGGCUCCUGGGUAGCAUGAUUUUGGCCUAGGACUGGGUGAGGCUGACCCUUCUUUCCCUUUCUGGGAUAACCCAGUUCUUGGGUUCUCUCUGUCGAGAUUAAAAACAGAGACCAACCAAUCAUAUGUAAUAUAGCGAUUAUAUUCACAAUAACAGUAAAUAAUGAUGGCUGCUGGUUAGUGUUUGUGUUUUGCAAGCACUGUGUUAAGAAUUACUUGUGUUAUGGGAUGGCUCUAAGACUGAUGAAAUUCUAAAUCCCAGCUCAGCCAGGCACAGUGGUGCACACCUGGAAUCCCAGCAACUCUGGAGGCUGACACAGGAGGAUCACAAGCUCAGGCCAGCCUCAGAAACUUAGUGAGACCCUGUCUCAAAAAAAAAAAGGACUAGGGGUGAGGCUCAGUGGUAAAAAUGCUGCUGGGUUCAAUCCCCAGUACCAAAACCAAACAAUCAGAUCUCAGCCAGGCCUUUUACUUGCUCCAUGAUGUUGGGCAGAUGACUUAAGCUCUGAGGCUCAGUUUCCUCACCUGUAAAUGGUUAUAAAAAUAACAUCCAGCCCCUGUCAGGCUAUUGUGAGUGCUCAGUGAGGUAAUGCACGAGAAGCACAUUGUGCAGUCCCUGGCGCUCAGUUGUUAGAAAAGCCUUUCUUCCUCCCUCUUUUAAUCUUCAUUUGAACCUAAUGAAGAAGAUGACAGCCUACUUUAUAGAUGAAGAAACUGAGGCUUCUGCUGGUUAAUUGAUUUGCCGAAAGUCAGAAGCUAAUAAGUGAAGGAAUUGAGAUUUGAAUUCACCUGACCCCAUUCUGGUAGAACUGGACUAAGUUAGGGUUCUGAAUUCAAGUUCUCCCUGACCUCUGGCCUCUUUAUUCUGAGUAAUCCCCUCCUCUCAGAGCCCCAGUUUCCAUCCUAUAAAGCCAGAUUAGUGAGUCACAAUAAGGAUGGAUUUAAUAUCAGAAGCACCUGAGUUUUCUUUCCAGAUGACUUCUGCUCCUUCUCAGAUGUUAUGCGCUAUCCUGUUGGAGGAUGGCACAGCCCUCAUCCCUCCCCCUCCUUUGCGAGAUUAUGACUGCCCUGAGUCAACAGGCUCUGGAAGAACGCGACACUCCCUGUGGUGUGUUGGAGGGGAGUGAGCUUCAGACACUGAGCAGUAAGCUGAGAGCCAGGCUGCUCUGUGUCUUUGCAGAGUGUACCACACCAGCAUGGGGCCUUUAUUCCACACGGUGGCCCUGCUUAGAGCCCUUCCUUUUCUAACACUUAACACUUGAUUAUCUGAAACUUUUAAUGAAAAUCUAGUGGCCUGUUGAAAUGACAUAUACCUAGCCAGGAAUGGUGGCACAUUGUAAUCCUAGCAUCUUGGGAGGCUGAGGCAGGAGGAUCC
rnacentral:lncRNA from 1 species